rnacentral:lncRNA from 1 species
GCGGCGGGAGGCCGGGGGGCGGGGGGGGGGGAACCGCGCGCGCGCUCUCCCUCCCCGGGCGCGUGGGCGGGGAGAAGGGGGCGGGGCUUAGGGGGGCGGGGCCGGGAGCGCAGGACCGGCUCCCGCUCCAUCAAUCCGGCGGCGGCCGAGCGAAGGAGGGCUGCCGGGCGGAGGAGGCUCCCGGCCAGCGGGUGCAAAGACAAAAGCACAUCUGAGACAUCAUCAGGGAGUAAUUUGGUAAUAUAAAGUCAUGAAUAGAAAACACUAAACUAUGCUCAGAACUCUGACAACAUAAAGCUCCAAACAGAAUAACCUCAUUUGCUGUUUAUUAUCUGUCUUUAUAAUUCUGUUUACCAUCGUUUGCAUAAAUGAAUAGCUAAAUUGUAUACCACAUUCUUUUUGGCAGGAAAAAAAAACCUGCUCGCUUAAAAUCUACUGAAAAAAAGCUAACAGGUAAUGCUUUUGUCAACCGAGAAAGAGGUUCAUAAACUUUAGUAUAAGAAUAAAAUCCUCGCGCAGAUAACCAGAAUAUGUACCAGAACCCUUAUCCUCACUCUCUUUGAGCAGUUUUUCUAAAAUAUAAAGGAAUGGACAUUACACCUCACUUUCAACUUUUAUAUCAAAUGUGCCUUUGCCAAAACUUCAUUUACCUAAGACAAGUAGUUCUGUUAACAUGCUAGCUUGUAGUAUGUUAUUUUGGAAGUAUUGUUCAAACUUGUGGUGAAUUCUCUGAAACCAGAAUUUGGAAUUACAAGGUGUGAAGCGAUGACUAACCAAGGUUUUUCAAAGAAAAUAAGAUAUUUUUAUUUGAAAGUUCAGUUUAACCUUUUAAAUCAUGUGAAAUUAAAUACUUAAUUUAGAAGUACCUUAAAUACUUAACCGGGUAUUUUUAUAGAAAAAAAUUAAUCACAUUAUAAAAUAUGCAGCUGAUAUAACCGUUAAAAUGACACUGAACCUCAGUGAGUCAGAAUUGCCUCAAAAAUUCCUGAAGAGAAUGACAAGCUUUGUAGCUUUCUAAUUUAAAAUCACAGGAAAGAGCCAGUCUUCUGGAUGGGUGUGAUAAAUUUGUUUAAUUUUGCGAGAAUUUGAACUUGUUUGGACAUCACCAGGUAUUGAAGGAAAUGUAUAGCCAUCCGUUAAACAUCCUAGCCAUAAUUAAAAGAGAGGUAGGCAUUGCUACAUGUCUGAAAGAAUAAAAGUUUUCUAAAAUGCGUCAUGAUCCUCCACAUUUUAAUGACUUUAAUAGUUGCUGCUUUUAACUGUGUUCUAUAUUUGUGUUACAACAAAAUGUGUGCAAAAUACAAUGAGCAAAAUCAAAUAUUUGAGUAAGGAGAAAGAAAAUGGGAAAAUCCCAUUUUAUGUUAUUUUUUAGUCUCUUUGACCCAAGUUGCCU